AGUAUGGUGGCCAAGUGGUAAGGCAUCUGUCUUGUAAACAGAAGAUCACGGAUUCAAACUCUGUCCGUGUCG
rnacentral:tRNA from 1 species